rnacentral:lncRNA from 1 species
AGCUUGAAAAUCAAAGGUAAGCUUAGAAAGGUGUAGGAAAUAACAUCUUCUCAUUUCUUCAUGCAUGAAUUGAAUUAUAAAGCUUUAAUUUAUAGUUUAUUCAAUCCUUUUCUAAGACAUAAAUCUACCUAGGUGAAGGAACAUCAAAGGGAAAGGAGAUAGCUAGAGAUUAGAAGAGGAAAAGAAAAGAAGAAAUUCAAGAAAGGUUUGGUGUUUGUAUGAUUUUUCUGUUUUCCUUUGAUUCUGCCAUGAAUAAGUGAAAUUAGGGGUUGAUUUUACUUGCUGGAAAUGUUGGUUUGAUUGUAUAAAUAUGUUAUAUGAAUUUUAAAAUGAUGUUUGAAAGGCUUAGAGUAAAGAAAUUUAACAUGAGAGCUAAAAGUGCAAACCUGGCAGA